rnacentral:rRNA from 1 species
UACGUAGGUGGCAAGCGUUGUCCGGAUUUACUGGGCGUAAAGAGCGCGCAGGCGGUCGUUCACGUCGUGUGUGAAAGCCCCCGGCUCAACUGGGGAGGGUCACGCGAUACUGAUCGACUCGAAGGCAGGAGAGGGUAGUGGAAUUCCCGGUGUAGUGGUGAAAUGCGUAGAUAUCGGGAGGAACACCAGUGGCGAAGGCGACUACCUGGCCUGUUCUUGACGCUGAGGAGCGAAAGCUAGGGGAGCAAACGGG